rnacentral:rRNA from 1 species
CGGACAGUGUCUGGUGGGUAGUUUGACUGGGGCGGUCUCCUCCUAAAGAGUAACGGAGGAGCACGAAGGUUGGCUAAUCCUGGUCGGACAUCAGGAGGUUAGUGCAAUGGCAUAAGCCAGCUUGACUGCGAGCGUGACGGCGCGAGCAGGUGCGAAAGCAGGUCAUAGUGAUCCGGUGGUUCUGAAUGGAAGGGCCAUCGCUCAACGGAUAAAAGGUACUCCGGGGAUAACAGGCUGAUACCGCCCAAGAGUUCAUAUCGACGGCGGUGUUUGGCACCUCGAUGUCGGCUCAUCACAUCCUGGGGCUGAAGUAGGUCCCAAGGGUAUGGCUGUUCGCCAUUUAAAGUGGUACGCGAGCUGGGUUUAGAACGUCGUGAGACAGUUCGGUCCCUAUCUGCCGUGGGCGCUGGAGAACUGAGGGGGGCUGCUCCUAGUACGAGAGGACCGGAGUGGACGCAUCACUGGUGUUCGGGUUGUCAUGCCAAUGGCACUGCCCGGUAGCUAAAUGCGGAAGAGAUAAGUGCUGAAAGCAUCUAAGCACGAAACUUGCCCCGAGAUGAGUUCUCCCUGACCCUUUAAGGGUCCUGAAGGAACGUUGAAGACGACGACGUUGAUAGGCCGGGUGUGUAAGCGCAGCGAUGCGUUGAGCUAACCGGUACUAAUGAACCGUGAGGCUUAACCUUACAACGCCGAAGGUGUUU